UGACGAUUCACAUCAUUAUUUCCGGACGGCGCCGAUACUCUAAGACUUCAAAACUUUGUUGGGAAAAAUAGAAACCUGCGAGAAAAACCCAUGCAGAAGCCGAAAACAGUUUUCUCAAUGGCAAGCCGUGGAGACCCGGUCUUUGGUGCUCCUUUUCUUGAACAAACCAGUGAAAUGGGCCUAUUGGUUAUGCGUGCGUAGCAAAGACCAUCCCUUGCGAUGGAGAUAUUUGAGGGCUGCCGUGCUCGGGAACUGCCGUGUGUCACAUUUCACAAAAGGUUGUCCAAGUAGCAGCUGUCAUCGUUAAAAAAGCAGCAACAAGAGGAUUGUUGAUAUCAAAAGCAGUACGAACCGACAUUUACUAACAGAAGCAUGUUUUUAAGUUCCCUUCAUAUAUUAUCUCACGUAAUUACCACAGUGACUCCAUCAGUUAAAGAGUUUUGUGAAAUCAGAGCUAUCUCCUGAGGUGGCUCAGGCCUUGAUGCUGAUGUGGGAGCAAGGUCUGAACAGCCACUUGUCUGAGGUAAUCCACAGUACCUGACUUUCUGCAACCUUGACAUUCAAAGAUGGUGGCAGGGGUGGCUUUCCAGUGACUGUCAUUCAUUGCCCUGCCUAUGCUGCUUAUCCCUGUUUCGUCCCUGUCAUUCACUUCUCUCCACCAGUUUCUUAACAAUCCAUGAUUGUCAGUGGAAGCUAAACUGUAGUGGAUUAUUAAAGUAUGUCUCCUCUCUUGCUCAUCCUAAAAAACAAAGUCCACUAAACCAUGUCUGUUAUAUAUCUUCCCUUCACCUCAACCGAGUGUGAUUGUUAAUUAAAAAAUCAACAUCACAUAGUUCGAAUUCUUGCUCCAGCACUUACAAUGGGGCCAAUUUUCUUAGACUGUUUGCCCCCCAUUUUUUCCUGAACUGUAAAAUAGGGCUCAUAAUAUUAUGGGUCUCAGCAAUUCUAUGAGGAUUAAAUGAUAUAAUUCCUGUAAAGGACUUAGGCACAGUGCCUGAAACAUAGUAAAUGCUCA